rnacentral:rRNA from 1 species
ACGGGUGAGUAAUACAUCGGAACGUAUCCUGGAGUGGGGGAUAGCCCGGCGAAAGCCGGAUUAAUACCGCAUACGCUCUGAGGAGGAAAGCGGGGGACCUUCGGGCCUCGCGCUCAAGGGGCGGCCGAUGGCGGAUUAGGUAGUUGGUGGGGUAAAGGCCUACCAAGCCGACGAUCCGUAGCUGGUCUGAGAGGACGACCAGCCACACUGGGACUGAGACACGGCCCAGACUCCUACGGGAGGCAGCAGUGGGGAAUUUUGGACAAUGGGGGCAACCCUGAUCCAGCAAUGCCGCGUGUGUGAAGAAGGCCUUCGGGUUGUAAAGCACUUUUGUCCGGAAAGAAAUCAUCGGGGCCAAUACCCCUGGUGGAUGACGGUACCGGAAGAAUAAGCACCGGCUAACUACGUGCCAGCAGCCGCGGUAAUACGUAGGGUGCGAGCGUUAAUCGGAAUUACUGGGCGUAAAGCGUGCGCAGGCGGUGCUGUAAGACCGAUGUGAAAUCCCCGGGCUUAACCUGGGAACUGCAUUGGUGACUGCAGCGCUGGAGUAUUGCAGAGGGGGGUGGAAUUCCACGU